CCUACGGGAGGCAGCAGUGAGGAAUAUUGGUCAAUGGGCGCGAGCCUGAACCAGCCAAGUAGCGUGAAGGAUGACUGCCCUACGGGUUGUAAACUUCUUUUAUAAAGGAAUAAAGUGAGGUACGUGUGCCUUUUUGUAAGUACUUUAUGAAUAAGGAUCGGCUAACUCCGUGCCAGCAGCCGCGGUAAUACGGAGGAUCCAAGCGUUAUCCGGAUUUAUUGGGUUUAAAGGGUGCGUAGGCGGAUUAAUAAGUUAGGGGUAAAAGACUGGGGCUUAACCAUAGUACGCCCUUAAAACUGGGGAGCUAGAGAAUGUAUGAGGCAGGCGGAAUGAGUGAAGUAGCGGUGAAAUGCUUAGAUAUCACGCAGAACCCCGAUAGCGAAGGCAGCCUGCCAGGCCAUGACUGACGCUGAUGCACGAGAGCAUGGGGAUCGAACAGGAUUAGAUACCCUAGUAGUC
rnacentral:rRNA from 1 species